UUUCAUUUUAAUGCUAAAAUAUUUAAAUGUUACAUACACUAUAUGACCAAAGGUAUCAGGACACACCCCUUAGUUUGAGGCUGGUUUUUCUGGUUUGGGCUAGGGCCCUUAGUUCCAGUGAAGGAAAAUCUUAAUGCUACAGCAAACAAUCACAUUCUAGAUGUUUCCGUGCUUCCCCAACAGUUUGGGGGGGAGGCCCUUUCCUGUUUCAGCAUGACAGUGCCCCCGUGCACACAGCAAGGUCCAUAAAGAAAUGGUUUUGUCGAGAAUGGUGUGGAAGAACUUAACUGGACUGCACAGAGCCCUGACCUCAACCCCAUCCCAUUGGGAUCACAUGGAAAGCCAUCGACAAGCCAGGCCUACGGCACAAAGGAAUGCUGUCUAAAGAAAACAAGAAAGACGGAAGGAGUAGAAGAAGGAGCAAGAGGAGGAGGAGGAGGAAGAGGAGGAGGAGGAAGAGGAUGGUCGGUAGGGCUACACUUACGAAGUGGACCACCUUGCAGGAGCAGAGGCGAUCGCUGAGGCCCAUCCAGCGCUGGUAGUCGGGGUACUCGCCGCGGGUCAGCACGUACUGGUAGCCCGCGUAGUUGGGCCGCUCGUACGCCACCCAGGCGCCGCUCUCCACGCGGACGGAGUUGCAGCGGUUCAGGUAGGAGUGGAA